UCAUCCGUGCAUCUAGCCUUUGCCCACACAGCUUUCAGUCACGGCCUCCGGUAAUGCGCACGUGGAAAAGCCCGCCCCUGACUUCAAGGCCACAGCCAUGGUGGAUGGCGCCUUCAAAGAGGUGAAGCUGUCAGACUACAAAGGGAAGUACGUGGUCCUCUUUUUCUACCCUCUGGACUUCACUUUUGUGUGCCCCACAGAGAUCAUCGCAUCCAGCAACCACACCGAGGACUUUCGCAAGCUGGGCUGCGAAGUGCUGGGCGUCUCGGUGGACUCUCAGUUCACCCACCUGGCUUGGAUCAACACCCCCAAGAAGGAGGUAGGCUUGGGCUCCCUGAACAUCCCCCUGCGUGCUGAUGCGACAAGACACUUGUCUGAGGAUUACGGCGUGCUGAAAACAGAUGAGGGCAUUGCCUACAGGGGCCUCUUUUACACUGAUGGAAGGGUGUCCUUCGCCAGAUCACCGUUAAUGAUUUGCCUGUGGGACGCUCAUUGGAUGAGGCUCUGCAGCUGGUCCGGGCCAUCCAGUACACGGAUGAACACAGAGAAGUUUGUCCUGCUGGCUGGAAGCUUGGCAGUGACAAGAUUAAGCCCAACGUGGAUGACAGCAAGGAAUAUUUCUCCAAACACAAAUAGGCUGGCCAAUGGGUAGUGAGCUUGUGCCCCUACCUAGGUGCCUGUGCUGGGUACCCACCUGUGCCCCCACCUAGGUGCCCUGUGCUGACCCAGGCAAGGCCAGACCUGCCCCUCCAAACGCCACAGUGUGGGACCCUGGAGGGCCAGGCCAAGGCCUUCUCAUGCUUCCACCUGGGAGCUGAAUAGUGACGCCCUCCCCAAAGCCUGCCCAGCCGCA